AGAGUUUGAUCCUGGCUCAGGAUGAACGCUGGCGGCGUGCCUAACACAUGCAAGUCGAACGAGAAAGCGCCUUCGGGCGUUAGUAGAGUGGCGAACGGGUGAGUAACACGUGACCAACCUGCCCCCCGCUCCGGGAUAACCCAGGGAAACCUCGGCUAAUACCGGAUACUCCGAGAAGAGGGCAUCCUCCUCUCGGGAAGGCCCAGGCGGCGGGGGAUGGGGUCGCGGCCCAUUAGGUAGUAGGCGGGGUAGAGGCCCACCUAGCCGACGAUGGGUAGCCGGGUUGAGAGACCGACCGGCCACAUUGGGACUGAGACACGGCCCAGACUCCUACGGGAGGCAGCAGUGGGGAAUAUUGCGCAAUGGGGGAAACCCUGACGCAGCAACGCCGCGUGAUUGAAGAAGGCCUUCGGGUUGUAAAGAUCUUUAAUCAGGGACGAAACAAAUGACGGUACCUGAAGAAUAAGCUCCGGCUAACUACGUGCCAGCAGCCGCGGUAAUACGUAGGGAGCGAGCGUUAUCCGGAUUCAUUGGGCGUAAAGCGCGCGUAGGCGGCUCUCCAAGCGGGAUGUCAAAGCCCGGGGCUCAACCCCGGCCCGCAUCCCGAACUGGGGGGCUUGAGUCAGGCAGGGGAAGGCGGAACACCCGGUGUAGCGGUGAAAUGCGCAGAUAUCGGGUGGAACACCGGUGGCGAAGGCGGCCUUCUGGGCCUCGACUGACGCUGAGACGCGAAAGCUGGGGGAGCGAACAGGAUUAGAUACCCUGGUAGUCCCAGCC
rnacentral:rRNA from 1 species